UACGGAGGGUGCGAACGUUAAUCGGAAUCACUGGGCGUAAAGCGCGCGUAGGCGGCUUUGCAAGUCGGGUGUGAAAUCCCCAGGCUUAACCUGGGAACUGCAUUCGAGACUGCAUUGCUAGAGUAUGGGAGAGGGAAGUGGAAUUUCCGGUGUAGCGGUGAAAUGCGUAGAUAUCGGAAGGAACAUCAGUGGCGAAAGCGACUUCCUGGACCAAUACUGACGCUCAUGUGCGAAAGCGUGGGGAGCAAACAGG
rnacentral:rRNA from 1 species